rnacentral:misc_RNA from 1 species
ACAUGCACAAGCCAUACGAGCUGCGUAUCUCUUUAAAGAGGCUGGGGAUCGUGUAACAGGACCAGGGCCUGCAGCAGCAGAAGCUCCAAAUGGUGAUUUUUCAGUUGGACCAGAGCAACUGGCUGUGUUGGUUAAGGAUCGUAAUGUUGAAGCUCUGGAGCAGUAUGGAGGGGUUAAAGGGGUAGCAGAUAUGUUACAAUCAAAUUUAGAGAAGGGGAUAAUUGGUGAUGAUUCUGAUUUAUUGAAACGGAGAAACACAUAUGGUUCAAACACAUAUCCCCAGAAACCGGGAAGGAGUUUUUGGAGGUUUCUCUGGGAAGCUUGGCAAGAUCUUACAUUGAUCAUAUUGAUGAUAGCUGCUGUUGCUUCGUUGGUGCUAGGCAUAAAGACUGAGG